AAGGGGUGGAGUUGACCGGUACUAAUAGGCCGAGGGCUUGUCCUCAGUUG
rnacentral:rRNA from 1 species